UGAUUCAUUGAUUCAGGGAAGUCAUGUGUCAUAGCUUGCUCUGUACCAAUGUGACCUUCAUUCAUUUCAUAAAUUCCUAUUGGAUAAGAAAGGGCAAGAAAGCCACCUUAUUCGGGGCCAUAGUCAUGAAGAAAAUGUCUUCACAGCUGCUCCAUCUGGUUUUACCACUAGAUGGUGACAAUCAAGUUGGGAACGUCCGCCUGAGGUCCCGGCUCCUUACCCCUCCCAUCAUCUUUUAAACAAAGAAAGGAUCUUCAGAGCGCCCAGCUGGGCUGGACUUCGUUCUUUGUUGGCAUUUGGAAAGCCACUGGGGGCAGUGAAUACAGAGGAGGCUGGGAGAGAGACUUCUCCACUGCAGCCAGGGCUCAGCUCCCCAAAGCACUAGGAAUUCUGGAGGACCAACAAUUUGAAUAAAGCUAUGAUGAACUCCCAACUUAGCAGCAGAGGAUGUCACAAUAGGAGAGAUCCCUCUCUUCUUACUGAAGAGCCACCAGGGGUGUUGGCCACCCUCCUUUCCCCCGGGCAGGCUGGUUGGAGGCUAGGGAGACUUCGGGAGUUCUCAAGGCUAGUAAGAGACUGGAAAGACUCUUUGCCCAGGAAGGAAGAAGAUGAUGCUCCCAGAAAUACCCCUGCACAUGGAACAAGCACUCGUCUCCUGUUACAACCUCCCUGAGGUCCUCUUGGCAAGCCGCCUUAGAGUCUCCUUAGCAUCCUUCUUCCUGGCCCUGAAAAGAAGUUUGAACUUCACUUCACUGAUAUCACUGAGGAUAUUUUGUGAGUGCUGUUGCAGAGUAUCAGAAAUGAGUUAAUAAUUAAUAAUCAAAUC